UUAAAUUGAAGAGUUUGAUCAUGGCUCAGAUUGAACGCUGGCGGCAGGCCUAACACAUGCAAGUCGAACGGUAACAGGAAACAGCUUGCUGUUUCGCUGACGAGUGGCGGACGGGUGAGUAAUGUCUGGGAAACUGCCUGAUGGAGGGGGAUAACUACUGGAAACGGUAGCUAAUACCGCAUAAUGUCGCAAGACCAAAGAGGGGGACCUUCGGGCCUCUUGCCAUCGGAUGUGCCCAGAUGGGAUUAGCUUGUUGGUGGGGUAACGGCUCACCAAGGCGACGAUCCCUAGCUGGUCUGAGAGGAUGACCAGCCACACUGGAACUGAGACACGGUCCAGACUCCUACGGGAGGCAGCAGUGGGGAAUAUUGCACAAUGGGCGCAAGCCUGAUGCAGCCAUGCCGCGUGUAUGAAGAAGGCCUUCGGGUUGUAAAGUACUUUCAGCGGGGAGGAAGGGAGUAAAGUUAAUACCUUUGCUCAUUGACGUUACCCGCAGAAGAAGCACCGGCUAACUCCGUGCCAGCAGCCGCGGUAAUACGGAGGGUGCAAGCGUUAAUCGGAAUUACUGGGCGUAAAGCGCACGCAGGCGGUUUGUUAAGUCAGAUGUGAAAUCCCCGGGCUCAACCUGGGAACUGCAUCUGAUACUGGCAAGCUUGAGUCUCGUAGAGGGGGGUAGAAUUCCAGGUGUAGCGGUGAAAUGCGUAGAGAUCUGGAGGAAUACCGGUGGCGAAGGCGGCCCCCUGGACGAAGACUGACGCUCAGGUGCGAAAGCGUGGGGAGCAAACAGGAUUAGAUACCCUGGUAGUCCACGCCGUAAACGAUGUCGACUUGGAGGUUGUGCCCUUGAGGCGUGGCUUCCGGAGCUAACGCGUUAAGUCGACCGCCUGGGGAGUACGGCCGCAAGGUUAAAACUCAAAUGAAUUGACGGGGGCCCGCACAAGCGGUGGAGCAUGUGGUUUAAUUCGAUGCAACGCGAAGAACCUUACCUGGUCUUGACAUCCACGGAAGUUUUCAGAGAUGAGAAUGUGCCUUCGGGAACCGUGAGACAGGUGCUGCAUGGCUGUCGUCAGCUCGUGUUGUGAAAUGUUGGGUUAAGUCCCGCAACGAGCGCAACCCUUAUCCUUUGUUGCCAGCGGUCCGGCCGGGAACUCAAAGGAGACUGCCAGUGAUAAACUGGAGGAAGGUGGGGAUGACGUCAAGUCAUCAUGGCCCUUACGACCAGGGCUACACACGUGCUACAAUGGCGCAUACAAAGAGAAGCGACCUCGCGAGAGCAAGCGGACCUCAUAAAGUGCGUCGUAGUCCGGAUUGGAGUCUGCAACUCGACUCCAUGAAGUCGGAAUCGCUAGUAAUCGUGGAUCAGAAUGCCACGGUGAAUACGUUCCCGGGCCUUGUACACACCGCCCGUCACACCAUGGGAGUGGGUUGCAAAAGAAGUAGGUAGCUUAACCUUCGGGAGGGCGCUUACCACUUUGUGAUUCAUGACUGGGGUGAAGUCGUAACAAGGUAACCGUAGGGGAACCUGCGGUUGGAUCACCUCCUUACCUUAAAGAAGC
rnacentral:rRNA from 1 species